GGGAUUGUGGCUCAGUGGCAGAGUGCUUGCCUGGCAUGUAUGAGGCACUGGGUUCAAUUCUCAGUACCA
rnacentral:tRNA from 1 species